CACUCUCUUGCUCGAGACGGCACUGUGGCUCCCCGAUGCCGAUAGGUAGGCAUUGAACGGCCGCCCGAGCCGCAACGUGCUCCGCAAAGCAGACACAGCAGAAGCUGUCCUUGGGGCUGACAAUCUAGACCUCACAGCUGGGUUGCUUCCAGAUAGCCCUUCACCAUCUGCAUGAGAUUCACCAGGGAGGAGGCAGGGCUCACUAAAAUGCAGACUCCCAGGUCCUGCUCUGGGCCCUCCUGGUCAGACUCUCAGGGGCUGGGACCUCUGAAGCAAGUUCUCCAUUAGAGUCUUUUGCACACUGAGGUACGAGAACCAGCCCCCAAGGAUAGUGGAUCUAGGGACUGCCUUCUGCCCCCAACAUGGAUUUCCACCCCUCACUCAGCCCCACCAACCAAGUAAAAAGAAUGAGGGAACUAAGGAAUAAGAUAAAGUCAUAAUGCCCCCAUUGCCCGCCAAGACAGGCUAAGCCAUUCAUCUUGUCACACCCAAUUUGUUCCAGCGGCCCUUAACAUUUGCUGAUUACAUUUGGCCACAUUCUCCCUGCUUUUCUCUUCCUCAUUGCCUCUUGAUGUGCAUGAAAGUAGUGCCUCUGUUUAGGAACUUAGAACUUAUACGUGUCCAUAAGUUUGAACAAAGCCUUGCAUGUCGCCUCUAUCCAGUACUCACACAGACACAUACACAGGGGUCAGUGUUCCUGUGGUGAUUUUCCACCUGCCUACAAGUGGGAGACAGUGAGAGAAGGUUACCAAGUAACAAUGGCUUCAAUGAAAUAGACAUGUAAUUCUUUUCUAUUUUAAAGAAGUCAGGGAUUCCUAGGAGAAAAAAAAAAAAAAAAAAAAAAAAGGAAGAAGUCACGAGAGGGCAUCUGGGGCUUACAGAUUGGUUUUAUGAAAUCAUCCAGUGUCCACACUCUUUCAAACUUGCUUCUCCACCAGCUGCAUGAGAUUCACUUUCCAUUUUAUGGUCCUAGACGGCUGCUCUAGCUCCAGCCCUUACAUCCAUCUUCCAGUUAGCACAGUUGAUAAAGAGGAGAAGAAAGACACAUCUUUUUGCCUUUAAGAACACUUUCUGGGAGGAAUACAUGAACUUCUGCUUUCAGCCCAGCAGUCAGAACUUAGUUACACAGUCACACCCGGCUGCAAAGGAACCUGGGAAACGUAGUCAUUAUUCUGGGUGGCCAGCUGUCUGAUUAAAAGUCACACAUAUCAUCAAGGAAAAAGGGGGGAAUGUAUAACAGGGACUGCCUGCCAGCACUCUGCCCACCCCUGUAGUCUUCCUCGAUCUGAGGCAUGUUUUCUAUGGUGAUCCUUACAUUUGAGUUGAUUUGUGAAAGUAAAAAACUGCCUCAUGUCUAAUAAGAAUAAAAUCAGAGACAAUGUGGGAAAGAUAGUAAGAGAAUCAGAUAAUUACAAAGGGAAUGAAAGUAAAGCAUAACUUUUCAGAGACAAGUAUAUGUAAUCACUUUGGAUUUGGGAGCGAUGGGACUUGGGAACCACCAUUGGAGUCUUACAUCCUCAUAAGGGGAGGAGUGCUCAUAAAACAUUCUUUCCCUGGUUAAAAAUGUCAGGGGUGUCUUCUGUUCUUCCUUUUUACUCCUGCGCUCAGGAUUGAUGGGCAGUUCCUACGUCUGACUUUCAACCUCACCCCUUUAUCUCCAUGAUUUCCCGGUCCCUAGAACCUACCCCCAUCCCCAUUCAUUUUGUGCAUAAAUAGAUUUCUUUUCGUGAUCAGUUCACCCCUCUGCUCAGAAACCUCCAGGGUUGCCCAUAGAUUACCAAAUAUAUUCUUAUUUUCUUCACCAGGCACACACACACACACACACACACACACACACACUAUUCCUAUCAAAUGAAAACACUGGCUGUCUCCCUAAUUCACCAUCUGCCUUGGCUUCUUUGGGGCUCUGAAUUUGGCCACCACUGGCCUUCCUUAUGAGGCUUUGCCUGGUUCCACUGGCUCCUGCCAGAGAAGAACAUGUCCGGGCUAGCUGACGGAGGAUGAGAGGCAGGUGGAGCAGGACCAUCCCACAACCCACAGCUGGUUGUGAGAAGCGGAGCCACUCCAGAUGCCUCAGGGCAGAGCUGGAGCUGGCCAGCCCUGGGAUCUGUGAGAAUAAAUGCUUAUUGUUGUGUGUCACUGUGAUUUUACAGCUAUUUAUUAUGUAAUAUCUUUGCAGCAAUUGCUAACUGAUCUACCUGACUACAUACGCUCUUCCGUAUCUGAACCCCUGCAGUAUUUUCUGUGUGUCUUUUAGAGUAUGAGUCCCUUCUACCUUCAGUUGCGAUUGGGUUUGGAUAUGAACACAGACACCCAAAGAAACAGUGGUGAAAAUAAGAUUGGAGUUUAUUUCUCUCUCAUAUGAAGGCUGUGAAGCAGGUAAGCCGUCGUGGUGAACUGAACGGUGAGCCAGCCGUCCGCUUUGCUGAGCGUGUCACACAGCAGAGCAGGGACAGUCCAAGGCAGUGAGCAGGAACUAACAAUCAGCCUUAGCUCCCAGCCUAGGCCUGUGACCAAUGUGAGAAACAGGCACUGUUUCCUAACUUGCCCAACCUGAGGAAACAUCUUUUCGUGUGCUUGCAGAGUACGAGGAUGUGCGCUGGCUAUUUUCUGUGUGUUUUAGUUUUUAUUUUUACUUUUGAAAAAUUUUAAAUAUAAACUGUAUUAGUCAGGGUUCUCCAGAGACACGGAACCAAUAGGAUAUAUAUAGAUACAUAGAAGGAGAUUUAUUAUAAGAGUUUGGCUUCCAUGGUUAUUGAGACUGAGAUGUCCCACGAUCUGCUGUCUGCAAUCUGCAGAGCAAGGAAAUCGGUGGUGAAAGUUCCAGUCCAAACCCAAGGCCCGACAACCAGGGGAGCCAAUGGUACAGGUCCCAGUGGAAGUCUGAAGGCCCGGGAACGAGGAGCAUUUAUGUCUGAGGGCAAGAGAAGUUGGACGUUCCAGUUAAAGACAGCAAAUCCCACCCUCUUGUUCUAUGGAGGCGCUCAGUGCCUUGGGAUGUAGCCACAGGACCCCACCUCACUGCCAGCCUGGACAGGCAGGGGCUCAGAUAAUUUCCCUAUUACAAUGGAGAAGGGGAUCAUGGACCCCGGGUCCUGCUUCGUUUCCUUUUGGUCCAUCUCUGGUUGAGGACUUUGGCCAACUCCUGGCACCUGGAGCCCUGGUCAGUGCGUGUGCGUGGCAUACAUGGGUCAGCAGUCCCCUCCUGCCUGCUCCAUCCACCCCGUGUCCCAGGUCAGUGCAGAGCACAGAGCUCUCUCCUGUAGCCUCACUUUUCCCAAGCUGCUGCUGCUGCUGCCUUUCCUUCUCCUCCCUCUCCUCCCCCUUCUUCUUCCCUCUCUCCACUCUCCUCCUCCCUUUCUUCCCCUUCCUUCUCUCUCUUCCACCCCUCCAGCUCCUUCUCUCUCUUCUCCUCUGUUUGCUUCUGGGCCUUGGUUCAUGUUUUACCUCCCUCCUUUUUCUUAGCUUGUUGCAAAUGACCCCACCCUUGAGGGUCCUCUCCUACCCUGCUCUGUCCUGAAGGAUUUCUUGAGCGCUCAAGCCCAUCUUGACUUCCACCUGACUCACCAUCAUCCCUGGUUUGGGGCAGCUUCUCUUGGAUCCCUCUUUAUUUUCUUGCGGUUUUGCCCUGACUCCCCAGUGACCGUCAGCGCCCCGGGCCGUGCCUCUUCCUGUGGCAGGCUGCAUCUAGAACCCCGCCACGUUCAGCACAGAGGCUGUUGUGGCGCCAGUCGUGGAGGCGCCAGUCUACUGAAGUCCAGCUGUUUCGCACAGAUUUUGAAAGCUGUGUCUACCUGAUGCCAACCCAACCUGGAGAUGAACAGGAAUUCUGUCGUCUGUUUUGGAAAACUGUGGAUGUCUACGUGGCUGAUGUGCUAGGAAUCUGCUUUAUUGUAUCCUGUGGGCAUUAACUAAUGCGAGGAAGAGUGGAAGACAGCCAUCCUGGCGUGAUGGAGAACCAGUGGGAAGUGGCAGCAAUACUAGGCUAUGUGCCAGGAAACAAGGAUCCUCGUUCUGACUCAUCCAGGAAUGGUGGUGCCCUCGUUCAUAACCCCAUUUCUGAGCCUCAGUUUCCUUAUCCAUGAGACAAGGAGAUGGGCAAAACAAUAAUCAAAUUUCAUUCUUGGAGAUACCACUAUUUUAUGCUUCUAGAAUUUUCCGUGUUCUAUGCUUCUAGAAUUUAGCCGUGGCUCCACGGCUCUCUGCUCAUUUGAUCCUCACAGUAAACCUUUAAGGUAGUCUGACAGGGGUUACUAUUCUUCCCAUUGGACAGAUGGUUGCAUUGAGGCUGCGGAAUGGUAAACACCCAAGGUUUCGUUCAAAAUGAAACCCCUUCUCGUAAUGCGAAAUACUUCCUUCUUAGCAGGAGGCUCACGUCUGUGUGCAUGUGGGCAUAUUGGUGAAUGUGGGCAUCUGUCUGUCAUGUUUCUCUGAUGUUUGAGUAAGAAGGGUGCAGCUAGUAAUUGGACUCAUGAUUUCUGCUUUGUCUGAUGGAUAUUCCAUGUCAUGGUAUCAUUCUUGGUCUAUUCCUGGAUGUUUGCUUUUGUCUGACGAAUGUUCCAUGUUACAGUAUAAUUGACGCUAAAUGCUUUAGGCAAAAAUAAAUAGUGACAGGAGGGCAAAGGGUAGUGGGCAAGGGGAGACGGAGAAGUAAAGGGGCAAGAACGAAGAGCUGAAUUGCCAGCACUAUUGUAUGUACUGCACGAGUGCAGAGUUCUCUUGAUCUUCACAUUAACCCCAUGAGGAACUAUAAUCACACCCAUUUUACAGAUACUGAAACCAAGGCCUAGAGAAGUUAAGGAACUUGUCCAAGAGCCAGCAUGUGAAGCCAGGCAAUCCGGUUUCAGAGUUUGUAGCCCAACCACCCCGCUGUCGAGGGCAGGUCGGGUAGUCAUCAGCCUUUGUGAGCUGCUCUGGUAUAAAGUAGGAUUAAAAAAAAAAAGAAGAGCUACUCAAGCGAGGAAGGUUGUGGAGAAAUUGGGACGCCAUAUACUGCUGGGAGUACUGACUGUGAGUUUAAUCUUUUCAUAAGCCAUGUAUGGCAAGAGCCAUAAAGUUUUUCCAUAUUUGUCAACUCAAGAAUGCCAACCCUUAGGGGCGCCUGGGUGGCGCAGUCGGUUGAGUGUCCGACUUCAGCCAGGUCACGAUCUCGCGGUC